rnacentral:rRNA from 1 species
AACGAACGCUGGCGGCAGGCUUAACACAUGCAAGUCGAACGCACCUUUCGGGGUGAGUGGCAGACGGGUGAGUAACGCGUGGGAACGUGCCCUUCAGUUCGGAAUAACCCAGGGAAACUUGGGCUAAUACCGGAUACGUGCGAGAGCAGAAAGAUUUAUCGCUGAAGGAUCGGCCCGCGUCUGAUUAGCUAGUUGGUGGGGUAAUGGCCCACCAAGGCGACGAUCAGUAGCUGGUCUGAGAGGAUGAGCAGCCACAUUGGGACUGAGACACGGCCCAAACUCCUACGGGAGGCAGCAGUGGGGAAUAUUGGACAAUGGGCGCAAGCCUGAUCCAGCCAUGCCGCGUGAGUGAUGAAGGCCUUAGGGUUGUAAAGCUCUUUCAUCCGGGACGAUAAUGACGGUACCGGAAGAAGAAGCCCCGGCUAACUUCGUGCCAGCCGCCGCGGUAA